CCUACGGGUGGCAGCAGUGAGGAAUAUUGGUCAAUGGCCGAGAGUCUGAACCAGCCAAGUCGCGUGAGGGAUGACUGCCCUAUGGGUUGUAAACCUCUUUUGUCUGGGAAUAAAAUGUUCCACGUGUGGGUCUUUGCAGGUACCCGAUGAAUAAGGACCGGCUAAUUCCGUGCCAGCAGCCGCGGUAAUACGGAGGAUCCGAGCGUUAUCCGGAUUUAUUGGGUUUAAGGGGUGCGCAGGCGGUUUUUAAAGUCAGCGGUGAAAUUUUGGGGCUCAACCCCGGAAUGCCGUUGAAACUGCAUACCUGGAGUGCGCGGAAGGUAUGCGGAAUGCGUGGUGUAGCGGUGAAAUGCAUAGAUAUCACGCAGAACCCCGAUUGCGAAGGCAGCAUACCGGAGCGCAACUGACGCUGAUGCACGAAAGCGUGGGUAUCGAACAGGAUUAGAUACCCGAGUAGUC
rnacentral:rRNA from 1 species